AUACGAAGGGGGCUAGCGUUGUUCGGAAUUACUGGGCGUAAAGCGCGCGUAGGCGGACUGAUCAGUUGGGGGUGAAAUCCCAGGGCUUAACCCUGGAACUGCCUCUAAUACUGCCAGUCUUGAGUUCGGGAGAGGUGAGUGGAAUUCCUAGUGUAGAGGUGAAAUUCGUAGAUAUUAGGAAGAACACCAGUGGCGAAGGCGGCUCACUGGCCCGAUACUGACGCUCAGGCGCGAAAGCGUGGGGAGCAAACAGGAUUAGAAACCCUAGUAGUCC
rnacentral:rRNA from 1 species